GAUGAACGCUAGCGGGAGGCUUAAUACAUGCAAGUCGAGCGAGAAGAUUUGUGCUUGCACAGAUCGGACAGCGGCGCACGGGUGAGUAACGCGUACGCAAUCUACCUUUCACAGAGGGAUAGCCCCGGGAAACUGGGAUUAAUACCUCAUAGUCUCUGGUGUCGCAUGGCACUAAGAGUAAAGCUCAGGCGGUGAAAGAUGAGCGUGCGUAAUAUUAGCUAGUUGGUGAGGUAACGGCUCACCAAGGCGAUGAUAUUUAGGGGGCGUGAGAGCGUGAUCCCCCACAUGGGUACUGAGACACGGACCCAACUCCUACGGGAGGCAGCAGUAAGGAAUAUUGGGCAAUGGAGGCAACUCUGACCCAGCCAUCCCGCGUGCAGGAUGACGGCGCUACGCGUUGUAAACUGCUUUUGUAUAAGAUGAAACCUGGGGAUUUAUCCUCAGCUGACGUUAUUAUAAGAAUAAGCACCGGCUAACUCCG
rnacentral:rRNA from 1 species